UUAAGUUUUCUCAGAGGGUUGAUGAGCUCUGAUGAGAGCCUAUUGUUUUACUCCACUCCUCGCAUGUCAGCCAAUCGGUGAAGCUCUAGGCAGCUCUUGUCCCUCCUUAGUGCCAGCUCCCAAGUUUGCAGUCUCUUGCUUCUACAGCCGAACAGAGCAGGCGGACUAAAACUUUGUUAUCGAGGGCAGAGCGAAACCGGAAGGUUUACUGAACUGUGGCUUCACUUAAACGCUGAGCAUACACUCGACGGCGGUCAGGUUUUUUAUAUGGGACGAAUCCAAGACCAGGUCAGCGAUUCCAGAACCCAGAGCGUUCCAGUGUUCACUGGAUGGCGAGCCAACCCAAGAUCCUAGGAAACGAUAUACAUACACACGCACACUCAUUUGCACAUUGAUGGACUACAAUCCUCUACUGUACAAGUAGUACGGUAGGAUAGACAAUCACACACACACUUCUCAUCGGACGAACUAUUGCAAUACACCCAUUUGUCAUGGGCCCCACCGGUACCAUUUGGACUUAAAAAAGACUAAUACUUGUGCACAAUUUUAUUUUAUUUUAUUCUAUUUUUUUUGCUACUUUGGGGGGAAUUUUAUACUUGAAAUUCUGUUAAAUCUGUUGUAAUACUGUGUUGGUUACAAAAUUCUUUUAAAAGGCUUAAAUCACUAAAGCACGUUUAAGCCACACAACUGUGUUUGUCUGGUUCCUCUGCCAUUCAUGUACCAGAGCUCUAAGAGUCGUUCUUUAUCUUCUGAUACUAGCCCAAAUUACUCAUUACCUUGGUAACUACCCAUUGGUACUUUAUAUAAAUCCAGGUAAGUGUUACACUAAAGUUUAAUCUUGAUGAGUCACCCAUCUCUGAAGAAUGGAGAGAGCACAUUAUCACCAAGCUCAAGUCCAUUUCAGAAGUGUUUGCAGUUGAUGUCCUGUCUUACGGUCAUACCACUGUGGUAAAGCACCACAUUCGGCUGAACAAUGACACGCCGUUUAAGGAACAGUCGAGGCCCAUCCACCAAAGUGUCAGAGAAGCUGUCAAGCAACACCUCAAAGAACUGCUUGAUGCAGGGGUCAUUAGGGAG